rnacentral:lncRNA from 1 species
GCGUGAUCUCCUCGCCCUGGCAGAGCCGGGGUGCCGGGUGGGGGCAGGCUCGGGGGCCUGCCUGCGGUGAAUCAGGCUUGUGACCUCAGGCCGUCCAGGAAACCAGGGCGGUCUUCCAAGCGGGCAGCCACGUUGCCUACUUGAGGCCAAGGCAGAAGCAUCAAUCACAUGGGGCGUAGUUUCUGUCUGGCUAAAGAACGGCUCACGCGGACCUCGGGAAUGCGACUGUGGAAACGACGGGGAAGCUGGAAGGGCUGGGUGGCGGGGGAAGCUGGAGGGCACAGCUUCCAGAUUCCAGUUUGUUAAGAAUCACCUGAAGGACGUUUCUCUGAAGGGAAAGUGGGCAUCUGUGAAGGGUUAGAGGCACAUACUUCAACUUUCCCUAGCACAAGAGUGGAAAUCCAUACUCCUUGGGGAGGGACUUUGUCACUGAACCUUAAGAAAAUGGUUACUGGACUGAGCUUGGUUACUUAUGCCUGUAAUCCUGACGUUUUGGUAGAUGGAAGUGGGAGCAUCGAUUGAGGCCAGGAGUUCUAGCCUAGGCAAUGUAGUGAGACUCUCAUCGAAAAGAAAAUAAAAAAAAGAAGAAAGAAUCUCGUGGCUGUCAUUUUUAAUGUUGCUGGUGUGCAGGGAGGCUGUUUUGACUCUUAUUUCCAUUCUUGGGCCACCGGCAGAGCAGGGCAAAGCUAUGAGGUUACAUAGACCUGGCUUAGACCCCAGUCCCAUUCCCCAGCAGCUUCAGGCCCAAGCAACGGUCUCCAUCUCCCUGAACACAGUCUCCUUAUAGGUAAAAUAACUGCAGAGUUGAUGCUGGAAUUAAAUCAAUGCAGUGGCGAGCCCAGCGCUGCAGAGCCCCGUGCUUAGUGACCAAAAUAAUGUCCCGCCUGCCUCAUCUUCCUCUCGGAUUUUUGCCAAGGCCAAACUGCGCGUGUCCCAGAAAAAAACCCUCGGACACUUGGCCUCUGCCCUGUCUCAGCCGAGUGACUAGGAUGACUGGGAAGUGAAUCACAGGAAAAUCACCCAAGCCCACUCUUCUCCACAGCCGGUGAGCAGAAGGAAGGAAGCAAAGAAGGAAGGGAGGAAGGGAAGAAGGGAGAGUUCAGUUCCCUUUCGUCGUUCACACAGUGGUCCUCCACACCAGGAAACCUAAGGGCUCUGUGGAGGGCCAGGUGCCGUGGCAGCAACACUCCUCAGGGCCUGUUUCAGCACCCCAUUUACGUGGCACAUGAAAAAUUCAGGAUGAACGCCCUGGCUGAAAGCUCUUCCUGGGUUUGGGACAUCAGAAGACCUUCCCGGGAUGGGCUCUUGUCUCUGCAGUAGCUAUGACCUGCACAUAAACCUGUUUCCUACACUGUAAAAUUGGCGUAACCACCAUUCCCUCCCAGUCUUUCUCUGGAGUCCUAAUGGGAACAGUGACGGAAUGAAAGUGACCACGCUGGAACCCGAAGCGCUGUUCCCCUCCGUGGCUUCACACUGAUCUCCACACUAGAAUUCCGUGUCUGCAGUUCAAGUUCAAACUACUGUGGUCGGGGAAGGGCUACAGAGAUCUCGCUUGGCCGUGGAGUCACCGGCCCCGUCCAGUCUUGCUUGGGACACAUACUGGUUUACACUCUCUCGGGUUCAGUUUCCUCAUCUGUAAAUGGGGCUCGUAUCCCCCUCAUAAAGUGGUUUGGGGGAUAAUAAAGCUUGUAAAAGCGCUUUGCCCCAGUGCUUGGCACAUAAUACGCGCUACGUUAACAAUGUCGCGUACACGCCCGAACCGGAGGAACCCCAUUCCACGCUCCUUCUGGAACCGAAUUCACCUCUGAGGCUUUGGGGCUUCAGAGCCGGAGCCGCUUGGGCAAAACCAGCAGAACAGCGAGAGGGAACGGGCUGGUCUAGCCCUGCCCUGAGCAUUUCUACUGAGACCCCCGGUCCUGCUUCUUCCAGCCUCUGCUGGAUUUCUCUCCGACCCCUCUGGAGCGAAGCCCUUUGGCCCUGCGUUGCAUGCGGCACGGUGCGGGUUCGGGCUCUGCGCUGGAGCCGGGAUGCCCUCCGGCGGAGGGUGCGCGUAGGCGGCGCCUGGGCGUGAGCCCCGCCUGCAAGGCUCAGCGUCGGGGAAGCACUUUUCUCGUCGACCCGGGGUCUUUUUCCGCCAAGGAGCUCGGGGCUCAAGAACUCGGGACUGGGCUGUGGGCGGGGCAUGGUUUUCCUCUCUGGGCGUCCUAAUCUCCAAUUUCAGGCAAAUUCGCUAGGAAGAACCUUCCCGAGCGCGCCUUCUCCAACAGGACCUCCAAGCCAGCCUCACGCACGCAGGCCUGGCUCUCUCCUGCAGAAUCCCCACCUGCCCUAUAACUACCCACUUCAGAUAUGGGGGAAUGGAGGAGAUAUUCCAAUCACGCCAUCUACCUACAGUUUCCACGGCCCCUUCUGUUGAAUGGUAUUUUCCUUUAGGGUCCCUAGAAGCAGAGCAAAUGAAAAGGCCAGGGGGAAAAAAAAAAAAAAAAGAAAGAACCGGUGAAUUGGCUCUGAGCCCAAUAAACGGUUCCUCUUUCCUUCUCCGGUCCUUUCCCUUCCAACAGAGCGAUUGAGAAAUCAUUUCAAUAAUCAGCAAAUCGGCUGGGAAAUGGAGAACCAGAAGGGAAUGUCCUAUCCAACAGCGCUUUUUCUUCUCUCAAUAGAAGCCCAGUCUUUCAUUUAGAUAUGAAUAUAGCUACUGUGCAUUUCUCCAUUAAUAAAUAUAAAUUUCCAAACUAGGUGGUGAGGGAUAUGAAUUUCCAUGGUACAUUGGGCCCUAGAGACACCAAGAAGCUUCAGGUCAUAAGGGGGUCUAUUCAGGCUAUGUCCAAGCACAACCAAAUUAUGGCAUUAAAAACAAGAGGUCUUGAUUCAGAUCUUUCACGUUUUAAUAACAGAGGGGGAUGCUGCUGAUAUAGAAAAGUGAUUGAAAAUAUUUGUAAACAUAUACUUCUCACUGGACCUCCAGUCAUGUUGGUGGGUGUGGUAGACAGAAUCAAGUACGUCAACUAGCUGUUUUCUGGUUUAGAAACAAAAAAUACCCCCAGCCCCACCCCCACUCUGGAGUCUUUGCUUCUCAACUACGAAAUGGAAAAAAAAGAACUCAAGUCCCAUUUAGACUGUGGGAGCUCAGCCCAUGAAGGGACUGUGGGAAUUGACAUGGAGAGUUUGGGGUGGAGAGGUGGAAGGGUGGAGGAAAUGAGAUCGGCAGCAGACACUGAGUCAGAGGCCUGAGACUAAGGCCUGGCUCUGUGUCCUUGAUAUCCCCAAGCCUCAGUGUUCACAUCUAUAAGAUGAGGAUAAUAUUGAUCUCACAGAACUGCUGUGAAGAAUCAACCACAUAAUAUAUGUGACGAUGGUUUUUCAUUAUCAGCCUUUCCUUGGCCUGGACCAAAUUGAAAGGAGACUGUGGGGCCAGGCAAGGUGGCUUGGAUCAUGCCUGUAAUACUAGCGCUUUAGGAGGCUGAGGCAGGAAGAUCCCUUGAGACCAGGAGUUUGAGACCAGCCUCAGCAACAUAGUGAG